AGGAACAGUCUGGUUCUCAGCCCAGGAGAGACUCCCCAAAGCAAAACAAACAGACAGACUGGCAGCGGAGCAGACCAUGAUCAAGGGCCAAAGAUACCGUUCUCCCAGAGGAGCUACUUGUUCUGACUAGGGCUCACUUCCACAGAAGCUUGCCAUACCAUUUGUGACACUGGAACUCAGAAACUCUUGUUGUCCUCUUAAAAGACUCAAAGCUUUUUCUGGGUUUCUGGUUUGGUCCCAAUGAUUACAGAGGACUCAGCAGGUUGGGGUAAGGGCAUGUUUAUAUGUGUUUGCCAGAGAGAGUUCUUCCUUUUCUGGAAAACAGAAGCAAGUUUUUCGUUGCUGCUUUUUAAACUCCCAUGUGCUUUUCCUGUUUGCCUAUGUACAUGCCCUUCCCCCAGCAGGCACAGACCAUUAAUCCUUGGGGAAGAGAGGCAGCUGCUUUGAUAGGGAGAGGAUGCAUAAAGUCUGUUUUGGAAAGGAAGUGAAGAGGAACUUCUGACCUUCAAAACUGAGCACUGUGCAUACAACAUAGCAGAGAGCCAGGCAUUAGAGAGAAGGAGCUGUUGUCUAAUUCUCCAGUUCCCUGUUCACACAUUACAGGCAGCAGACAAGCCUGGAGAGCUCCAAGUACAGCAGCCUGAGCAGAAGGGCAGAAGUUAAGGCAAGUCUCCAUCUUUCCCACCUGAAUGUACAACAGUUCAAGGCAGUGAAAAGAGAAAUGGACGAGGAGAGAAGAGAGAUGGUUAGAGUGUCCAUGCAGCCUGGGGCAAUUUCAAGAAAAAUGCUUCCAAACCCUGAGGGCUGCAUCGUCCUCCCCACAAGGCAAGCCCAAGUCCUGAUGUAGUUCCUCUGGCUGCAUCAGAAGAUGCUCCAAAGCCACAGCCAAGCCCCUGCUCUGCAUCUGAGACUUGGCCAUGAUGUCUAAGUCGUGACAUCACUAAGAACUCAAAGAAUAAAGGAAGAUGUAAGACGUGACUGAGAGAAUCUGGUGAUGAGCAGUGGAUGAGGGCAAACGGCCUACAUUUCUACCAGACAAGCACUUGUGAUUUCAUGAAUCUAUUCAAGUUUGAAAAUACCUGCUCUAAGAGAAAGGUUGGAGGAAAAUCAUGAAAGUCAGGAGAGAACAUGGCCAGAUUAAGAGGUAGGUCAAA